rnacentral:rRNA from 1 species
UAACACAGCCAUACUACCCUGAACGUGCCUGAUCUCUGAAGCUAAGCAGGGUCAGACCUGAUUAGUACUUAGGUGAAAAAACAUCCUUACUUUCAUAUGGUCAGCUUCUCACUGUGUGCU